UGGGCUCAAAAACAACGCAGGCCUAGAUGCAGUUUCUAUGGCGAAAGAUGGGUGAGAUGUGCCAGAAAAUUUCCGUUGGUACUCUUGCAUCGUUUUCUAGAGAAGUUGAAUAGUCAAUAUACGAUGGUCACAGCAGGUGAAAAUUCAUGAGUACAACAUUCUACUGUAUGGCGAUCUGAGGCUGUCUGUGAAGAUUUGGAAUUCAACUUCUGAGAUACGAAACGAUCACUUAAUUCAGAAGAGUCGAUUCAUGUCGAUGUUUAUAACUAAUUCCAUUGAUCAAACCGUCUCAGAACCUGGAACUAUCGGUAAAAAUAUUUUCGCCAAACCGGAAACUACUGCCAAGAUCUUGUCUGCUGUUAAUCAUUCAGUACGCAUUCUACCUCAAACGAAGUUUCUUCCUUAUUCGGUUGACGUUGGAUGCAAAGCACGGAUGCCCUGCUGAUGAUGUCCUUAGUGCAUGAAAGGAUUCACGUAACGUUUGAUUGGGCUAGGCAUUAGCGUACUGAGAGCGGUCAGAGUGCUAGUUCAUCAUCCACUGUAAGCUAUGUGACGAUCAAGGUUGCUACUGGUAGUAUUGUUGGUGCCAUUACGGAACCGAUAAAUGGAGCUGCGAUACUGGCUGCCCUCACCGGACAAGAAAUGCCACACAACGUGAGGACACGACGCCGAAAUAUUUCGAACAGGAAAACCAUCGGAACCAAUUCCGUACAAGGUAUUGUGAUAGCCACUGAUUGUUGGCGUUCACAGUUCAAGAAAUUCUAGUCGCCAGCCGGAAUCGUUACACGAUGAUUGGUGCAAUUUUGCUAAAUUUUGGACACGGUAAGAGGUACCGAAUCUUAAAACAAUCUGUCCAAGUAUGACUAUGCCGGAUUCAUCGCAGGUUAUACUGCGGACAAAGCGGAAAAUGCCUCCGUCAUCAAUGGAUUAUAUGUGCUAUCCCAUCUCCACCUGCUAGUUCGUACAACAAUAGACUUUGCCAGUGCCGAAGCUGUUCACCUGUACACAGCCUAGUGAAACCGACCGUAUUACGAUAUCGCCGAUGGGCUCUAGUCCAGUUCAAUAGUGAUUCUAGAAGAUGGCGAUGUGCCGAAUCUGCCGGAAUAUGACGACCAAUUAGAGCCGCCAGAAUAAAAUCUAUGCUUUAUGUA